UCACGUCCUCGAACCUGGCCUAAGCUGGC
rnacentral:sRNA from 1 species